GAUGAACGCUGGCGGCGUGCUUAACACAUGCAAGUCGAACGGGAAACCUUUUAUUGAAGCUUCGGCAGAUUUAGAUUGUUUCUAGUGGCGGACGGGUGAGUAACGCGUGGGUAACCUGCCUUGUACAGGGGGAUAACAGUCAGAAAUGACUGCUAAUACCGCAUAAGCGCACAGGACCGCAUGGUCCGGUGUGAAAAACUCCGGUGGUAUAAGAUGGACCCGCGUUGGAUUAGCUAGUUGGUGAGGUAACGGCCCACCAAGGCGACGAUCCAUAGCCGGCCUGAGAGGGUGAACGGCCACAUUGGGACUGAGACACGGCCCAGACUCCUACGGGAGGCAGCAGUGGGGAAUAUUGCACAAUGGGGGAAACCCUGAUGCAGCGACGCCGCGUGAAGGAAGAAGUAUCUCGGUAUGUAAACUUCUAUCAGCAGGGAAGAAA
rnacentral:rRNA from 1 species